GUUAGCACCAAGUGAUUCAGUAAAAGAUGCCAACAGCUAUCACAAAUAUGUAAUAACAGUGAAGUCUUCUUAAAGCAGUUACUAUUAAAUUGUUUUCCAUCUUACUACCAAAGUUCAAAAUGCUGUUUUAAAAGGUGUACUUGGCUUGCACAGAAAUCUGGAGGCAGUAUCACCUAACGACCAAACCUGGACCACCCAAAAAGCCGAAGACCCCUUCAAGACCAUCAGCCUUAGCAUAUUGCUAUCACUGCGCGCAAAAAGGCCAUUAUGGACACGAAUGUCCAGAAAGAGAAGUGUAUGACCCGUCUCCAGUAUCUCCAUUCAUCUGCUACUAUGAUGACAAAUAUGAAAUUCAGGAGAGAGAAAAGAGACUAAAACAAAAAAUAAAAGUACUCAAGAAAAAUGGGGUUAUCCCAGAGCCAUCCAAGCUACCUUAUAUAAAAGCAGCAAAUGAGAACCCCCACCAUGAUAUAAGGAAGGGCCGUGCCUCAUGGAAAAGCAACAGGUGGCCUCAAGAAAAUAAAGAAACACAAAAAGAAAUGAAGAACAAGAAUAGAAACUGGGAGAAGCACAGGAAGGCUGACAGACAUCGUGAAGUGGAUGAGGAUUUUCCCAGGGGCCCCAAAACCUACUCUUCUCCUGGCAGUUUUAAAACCCAGAAGCCUUCUAAGCCCUUUCACCGUUCAUCACAUUACCACACGUCAAGAGAAGACAAGUCUCC
rnacentral:sRNA from 1 species